UUAGUUUUAAAUUAAAUUAGCCAAAACUAGUAAAACCAGCGGUGUGCUAACCUGAUGACGCGCAGUGUAUACAUAAAUAUCUUUAAACCCCGAAAUCGCGGGAUGCUAUUCUCAAUCGCAGCCUAUUUAUGUAUUUCCUGCACGAUUCCGAUUACUUUGGCGGCGGGGUAAAAAAACCGAAUUUCCGUAUAAAUGGGGUAUGUACGGAUAGGGGGGCUUCUAUAGAGGUGGAAUAUCCAAAAAUCAUGUGAAAAUAGCUAAUAUUUUUAAAAAUAUUCACGUUUAAAAAAUCAAAAAUUCGCACUAAGAACACAUGUUAUUUCUCCAUGUUUCACAGAAUUUUUCACGUUUUUCUUUCACUAUAAUUAAAUAUACACUCUUAACAUUGAAAUCAGUUCGAUUUUCACUUUCAUUUCUUAAUUUUUCAGCCAAAUUUAGUAAUUUAAAAUCACAUAUAAAAUUUAUGGCUGAAAAGUUUAGAGUGUUUAUAUUUACGAGGAAAACCAGCGUUGCCACACCUUAAAAACCAAAAGUGAAGAAUUUUUUAGCGUUUCACAGCGUUUUUAUAUCGAUAUUCGCAAUAUACGAAUCUGAUAGUGAAUUGGCAAAAAUGAGAAAUACAUAAUAGGAAAAUUUAUAAUUAAUUAUUAUUGCAGAAAGAAGAAGAAUUUGGACACAGAAGAAUUUUGAACACCGGGGUUUUGGACCGACCAGGGAUAUUAUUUUUCGAGCGCUCGAAUAUUACGAAUAUCGAUAUUUUUAUUUCUUUUUAUUUUUCCAAUUAUUAUUAUUUUUAUAAUAUGUAACUAUUUCUCAUUUUUAAAAAUUUUCUUUCUGACUCGAAUAUUGAGAAUAUCGAUAUUUUAAUUUCUUUUUAUUUUUCCAAUUAAUAACAUAAAAUUAAAUAACGCGUCAUACACAUUCGUGAAUCGGAAUUAAAAACGAAUUUUUUAAGACAAUUCCCGUGAAAAUUGGUGCACGUUUUCGGAAAAGCCGUUCUGCUGAACAUUUACCGUAUAUAAUAUUGCUUAUUUGCUUAAUAAAUUUAUACAAGAAAAUAUCCAUAUGCAUGAAUAGAGGAAUUUUGCGAAAAAAGAGGAAUUUCACGAAUUGCCUUAUCAUCACAUGGCAGCGCUCCAUUUCGUCGUAAUUUUUGGUAAACAUAUGAGGUUCAAACAAGCGUAAAAUGUAAUUUUUAAAAUAAAGAUUUUUUAGGUAAAAACCUGUUAAAUGUGUAAAAUGUGGUUUUAUUUAAAAGUUAAUAGUGUAAAUUAAUUAAUUUGAAGUGAAAAAUGUGAAAAAAGUGCGUUUAAUGUGGUGAAAUAGCGUCUUGAAAUGGUCCAAUUUUGCGAUUUUUCGGACUUUAAGGUCGAAUAUCUCGUAAACUAAGCGUUUGCGGACCCUAUAACCCUAUAUAUUUUUUAAUCAGGAGGACUUCCUCUUUCCAACGGUACCUUCAGAUCGCGGCGCCAAAGUAAUCGGAAUUGUGCCAAA